rnacentral:rRNA from 1 species
UACGUAGGGGGCAAGCGUUGUCCGGAAUCAUUGGGCGUAAAGAGCGUGUAGGCGGCUUUACAGGUCCGUUGUGAAAACUCGAGGCUCAACCUCGAGACGCCGGUGGAAACCGUAAAGCUAGAGUCCGGAAGAGGAGAGUGGAAUUCCUGGUGUAGCGGUGAAAUGCGCAGAUAUCAGGAGGAACACCCGUGGCGAAAGCGGCUCUCUGGGACGGUACUGACGCUGAGACGCGAAAGCGUGGGGAGCGAACAGG